rnacentral:tRNA from 1 species
GGGUCCGUGGUCUAGUGGUUAUGACGCCACCCUUACAAGGUGGAUGUCCCCAGUUCAAAUCUGGGCGGACCCA